AUUACUUCUUAGUCUUUUGGCUAAGAUCAAGUGGAGUACCUGGCACGUGCUCUGAGGACAGCAUACUAAAUAGACUUCUGAAGCAGAAAGAUGGAAUACGAUCUUGCUCUAUCCACUCUCAAGCAUCAACCUGAUAUUGCAGUACCUCUAGGAAUAGUGCACCCUGC
ensembl:snRNA U2 U2 spliceosomal RNA